rnacentral:sRNA from 1 species
CAGAGGGGGAGUCAGUCUAAGGUCGUGACAUCGUGUCACAACGACUGACUGACCCGCAUCGUGCGAC